UAGAUAGCUCAGUUGGUAAAGCAUGAGACUCUUAAUCUCAGGGUCGUGGAGCCCACGUUGGGCAG